GUGGCUGAAAUAGGGACGCGUACCAUACGAUCUAGUAUGGUACACGCACCAUAUGAUUUUUGUUCAGGAACUCCAGAAGUCAGCCUCUUGACUGACCACGUGUAUGUUGGUGAUUUGAUCAAAGGUGGGCGAAUGAUUUAGGGCCCGACACCUCCUUGACCGAAGAAAACUAAAACAAAGAGAGGUUAAUCGAGCAGCGAAGUAGAUCGAAGAGAAAAGAAAGAGUUCGAGGGUUUUGUUUCAGAGGAAGGAAGGUGCGGUUCUCGUUCUCUUUAUUCAUUUAAGUUCAAUGAUUUCUUUGAUUUAUUUUUGUUUUCGUGCGUGGAUCGAUCCGAUCUGACGUUAUCAAGUCUUCAUUUCAUCUGAGUUUUGAAAGAUUUGGUUUUCAUGUUUUAUUUUUUAAAGUUUCUUUUUGGCCGUGUUGUCCUCUCAGCAUUUUCAGAGGAAAAAAAAGGAAUUUAUGCAUUGAUCGUAUUAAUUUUGCCACGGCUUUUCCUACGGAGGUGGUUGACCUCAGAAACUUCCCGUUACGUACUACUUCCUUCCAAUUUGGGGCUGUUAAAUUUAAACCCCCAAAACAUAAAAAAAUUUAAAUAGCCAUCCAAAUCUUAUUUUCAUUGCAAUAGAAUUUACGCAUCUAUCUGAAUUCUAACACUAUUAAUAAAAUAAAAAAUCAAUAAAAAAAAUCAAAUCAUGAUUUUCACGCAAUCUCAAAAUGCUUUGUCCUUUAUAAUUCAUCCACUUGCACAAAUCUUAAUGAACUCUAUACUUUAUCGUUUAUCUAUUUGCAUAAAUUUUGAAGAGCUCGAUCCUUUACCACUUAAAGAGCUAGAUUCUCUAUCAUCUAUCUGCUUAUGCAGGUCUCAAAGCACUCCGUUUGCCUAUUUCUUCUUUCUCAUCUGCCCUCUGGGGUUCAUUUUCAAAAUGGUUUAGGAAUCACCCUUUCUCAUGAAGCUUUUCAUCUGAACUAUAUUCUGUCAUCGUAAUUGAGAUUCGAGAGUAGUCUACUCUAGAUGGACUGACUGAUGACCCAUUUCUCUCAAGCUUGUUACUUGCUUAGUACCAUUUGGCAGAUGAGAACCAAAUAGGAUUUUAUUACCAUACUGAAUGAUAACAAUAAAAAGAGGAACAUGUUGCGCUUUGUCUUGUUUUUUGUGACUUCGUAGCAGCCCAAACUGCAAGUAUUCAUGUUCCAUGGGCCUUUUCCCUCAUUUUCGGAUAAAAAAUUUAAGCCACCAACUCUCCAUUAUUGCUGUUCUAAAGUUUUUGGGGUCACAUUGAUUUGGCCGAUUUAGUAUCUACCACUAAUCAACUUCCUCUUACUACUUUUUUUUUCUUCGAUUUUCUCAUCAUAUUCAGAUUCCCAUUUCGUAUCAGCUUGUGAAUCUAGAAAUAUUUUGAGGAAACUGGGAUUUUUUUUAUUUUUAUUUUUUAUGGUUCACGAUAACCAGCUGAACAAUGAGCUACAUUCUGAUUACCAAGUAACCCUUCACAAAUUCUUUACUUUUAUGUUUAGCAUCUAGGACGUGCUUCCUCUUAUGGAGCAUUUCCAGCAAUCUUUCUUCUCGUUGUAUCAUAAUUUCAACUUGAAGACGGUGCCAAUUCCAAAUGUGGUUGCAUCCUAACUAUUUACCAAUCAUCUCUUGCAUAUUAAUUUGUCUACUUAUUGCUGCCUCUUAUGAUUCCAAACAGGGACUUUGCAACUAUGAACUGUCAAGCCAGGCCAACCAAAACUGUUCUAGUAGAUAAACAAACCUUGUUUAAGCACUGGUUCUUGAGAGCGCUUCUGGCUUCCGGUCAUUCUAUUUUUCAUCCAUGAAAAGAAAAAUAACAAGCUCAGCAUUUAUGAAGAAACCCUGCUGGAAACAAGAAGAGGUUUGCGAAAAUGGCUGCAAAAACCAGGAUCCUUUUCUUCAUGCAUUAAGUGCAGAAUUACGUCCUCACUCUGCCCAUGAGCCAAUGAUUCAACAGCUUCUAAAGCAGCCAUGGCAAGUCCUUCAUAAUAUGACAAGUGUCUCCACUAGUGACUUGCCAUUGAUAUCUAAUAUGUUCUUCAGCCCACAUGGCCAUGAGAGUAUUGGAUCCCAUGCAUUUCUAC
rnacentral:lncRNA from 1 species